rnacentral:rRNA from 1 species
UGGGGAAUAUUGCACAAUGGGCGCAAGCCUGAUGCAGCCAUGCCGCGUGUAUGAAGAAGGCCUUCGGGUUGUAAAGUACUUUCAGCGGGGAGGAAGGCGAUAAGGUUAAUAACCUUGUCGAUUGACGUUACCCGCAGAAGAAGCACCGGCUAACUCCGUGCCAGCAGCCGCGGUAAUACGGAGGGUGCAAGCGUUAAUCGGAAUUAAUGGGCGUAAAGCGCACGCAGGCGGUCUGUCAAGUCGGAUGUGAAAUCCCCGGGCUCAACCUGGGAACUGCAUUCGAAACUGGCAGGCUAGAGUCUUGUAGAGGGGGGUAGAAUUCCAGGUGUAGCGGUGAAAUGCGUAGAGAUCUGGAGGAAUACCGGUGGCGAAGGCGGCCCCCUGGACAAAGACUGACGCUCAGGUGCGAAAGCGUGGGGAGCAAACA